rnacentral:lncRNA from 1 species
CAAAAAAUUACGAAAAACCGAAGCUUACCGGCGGCGGUGCUCUCAGGUGCGGCAGCUCUCCGGCGAGGUUCGUGUUUUGGUGAUUUGGCUCCGAUCAACCUGUAGAGAAAAGAAUGAUGAUCAUGGUGAUAUAAAAAUUGUAUCAAACGAAGGCCGGGAAGGGCCUCAUCGGAGGCAAAAAUUGAGGAGGGGCGCGGCGGUGCCGCUGGGUUUCGGCCGUGUUUUUCAGCGGUUUGGCUGGGAUUUUGGCUCUGAUUUGGCCACAGGGGAACUCAGCAAUGAAAAACAAGCUGGGGGUAUGAAAUUUACCUCGAUCGGCGGUCGAAAAACUUCCCAGUGCGGCGACGGGUGGCGAUGGCCGGCUCCUCCGACGUCUGGUUCGUCUUCUCCGGCGAGGGCAGGCGGCUAGGGUUUUUGUGGUCAGGUGUGGGGGUUUUAUUUAUACCCUUUUGCCUUUUAAUCACAGCCGUCCAUUUUGAUUAAAUCUGGGCC